GUCAGCGUGGCAUAGAGGUUUGAGGGUUGGACUACGACUUUUGAGACCAGGGUUCGAUUCCCAGCUCAGCCA